rnacentral:rRNA from 1 species
CAGCACCUCAAGUGGUCAGGAUGAUUAUUGGGCCUAAAGCAUCCGUAGCCGGCGCUGUAAGUUUUCGGUUAAAUCUGUACGCUCAACGUACAGGCUGCCGGGAAUACUGCAGCGCUAGGGAGUGGGAGAGGUAGACGGUACUCGGUAGGAAGGGGUAAAAUCCUUUGAUCUAUUGAUGACCACCUGUGGCGAAGGCGGUCUACCAGAACACGUCCGACGGUGAGGGAUGAAAGCUCGGGGAGCAAACCGGAUUAGAUACCCGAGUAGUCC